AUACACACACAUACUCACACAUACCACACUCACACAUAUCACACACUCAGACACUCACACUCACACCAUAUCACACACAUAUCACACACUCACACACACUCAUAUACACAUACACCCACACCACACACACACAUACACACACUCACACACACACCACACUCACACAUAUCACACACUCACACACACUCACACACACUCACUCACACACUCACACAUACCACACUCACACACACACUCACACAUAUCACACACACCACUCACUCUCACAUACACACCACACUCACACCCACCACACUCAUAUACACAUACCCCCACACCACACACACACACUCACACAUAUACUCACACAUACCACACUCACACAUAUCACACACUCACACACACACUCACACACACAUACUCACACAUACCACACUCACACAUAUCACACACUCACACUCACACAUAUCACACACACCACACUCACUCUCACAUACACACCACACUCACACACACACUCAUAUACACAUACACCCACACCACACACACACACUCACACAUAUCACACACUCACACACACACCACACUCACUCUCACAUCCCCACACAACCCUCUGGCGGCCCUUACCCACUCCUGUUCUGUGUGUGUUUUUCAGCGGAGAGGUCGGGCUACCCCCCCUCCCUGGUACCCGCACUGGCGUCUCUGGGGCUUCUCCGCGCCACCCCCGGGGUCCGGGCACUCACCCCGCCAUCGUCAUCGUCGUCCUCGUCCAGGCAGUGCAGGGUGCUCAGCUGCGGGUCCCCACGCACCCUCAGCUCCGCGAUGCUGCCCUACACGCAGACGGGAGAGGUCACCAGCGAUGCCGGCAGAGCCCGCCGGUGCUGGCCCCGCCCCCGCCCCCACCCCCGCCCGGCCCUGAGAGAGCACAGGAGGCUCGGGUGCUUCCCUCCAGGGCCAAAAGCUUCACAUCAGGGAGACAGCAAGGGGCUGGAGGGGGCAGUGUCCUGGGCACUCAGGGUCAGCAUUUGGGGCAGAGGGUGGCCGGGGCCCCAGGGGGCAGCUGCUCCAAGGCACCUCGUGAGCCCUGUGGCCCAGGGCAGGGGAGUGCAGCGCCAAGGAAGGCCCGGAUGUGAGCCUGUCUCAGGACAGCUGCGGCCAGUGCCCCCCCAGGGCACCACGAGGCCUGCCGGCACCCGCAGCCCUGCAGGGGGAAGAGGGGCCCGGUGCCUUUGUCGACAGGGGCUCCCGCUGGGCCUGUUCCGGUAUUUCCGGAUUGCUACUGAACGUUGUCAUCCGGGGCACCAGCGUCAGCGUGUGUUCUUCCUCAACAGAGCCUGCCGGCGGCAAUCCCGAGUGAGCUGUUCUGGGACUCCCACGGCGGGCGCGUGUGGGCUGGGGACGGCCAGCCAGCCGCGUGGGGCCUCAGGCUCUCUGCCAGGCUCCUCUGUGCUCGCCUGGAACACGGAGCCCACGGGCGUGGCUGCUGCAGCGAAUCUCAGCUGUGGACGCUGA
rnacentral:lncRNA from 1 species